rnacentral:rRNA from 1 species
CUUAAAUGAAUUGACGGGGCCCGCACAAGCGGUGGAGUAUGUGGUUUAAUUCGAUGCAACGCGAAGAACCUUACCUGGUCUUGACAUCCCGGAGACCCUUAGGAAACUAGGGGGUGCUUCCAUCUGGAAGAAUCUGGAGACAGGUGCUGCAUGGCUGUCGUCAGCUCGUGUCGUGAGAUGUUGGGUUAAGUCCCGCAACGAGCGCAACCCUUGCCUUUAGUUGCCAGCAGUUCGGCUGGGCACUCUAAAGGGACUGCCGGUGUUAAACCGGAGGAAGGUGGGGAUGACGUCAAGUCCUCAUGGCCUUUAUGACCAGGGCUACACACGUACUACAAUGGCCGAUACAAAGGGCAGCGACACUGCGAGGUGAAGCCAAUCCCGUAAAAUCGGUCUCAGUCCGGAUUGGAGUCUGCAACUCGACUCCAUGAAGUUGGAAUCGCUAGUAAUCGUGGAUCAGCAUGCCACGGUGAAUACGUUCCCGGGCCUU